AUACAGUGAACUCUGGAACACAGAUAAGAACGUGUAUUUUCUAAAGUGACAGUUUUGGCAGUCAGGCUCUGCACUGUGGACCCUGGACCUCAACUCUGUGAUUGAUGAAGCCUGUUGGAAAAACUGAUCAGAUUUCUUUGGUCUAAAUCCUUAAAUAGCCUCUGGUCUCUUUCUGCCUUUUGCAUCUUCUUAUAGGAUAGAAGAUGUUAAAAGAAGUAAUCACUCUAAAAGAGCCUGGUGUCGGGAUUGGCCUAUAAAAGGUACCCAUUAAUAUUCUCUCAGGAGGUGGAAGGCAUGAAAAUAGGUUAAAGAUAUAAUUGGGAAAGAAGUAGCACAGCAGCACUCAUGACAGCCAGGAUUGGAGGUUCAAUAAACUAUGGAUGGUGAUAAAGAAAUACAACUUGACAAACAGGGUACGCUUUACUACUAAUAGACUAAGUGGGGAGCCCAGGAAGGCCUGUUUCUCCAGAUUUUUCUUGGCCUCUCCAAGCACGCAUUCUUUCCUUCUGGGUGUCGGGCAGGACCCUCGCUGGAGUGGGAGUCUUAUGACCUACACGUAAGCAAGACAGGGUUUCACCAUGUUGAUCAGGCUGGUCUUGAACUCCUGACCUCAGAUGAUCAACCCACCUUGGCCUCCAAAGUGCUUGGAUUACAGGCGAACAGUAGUGUCCUUAGCCACAGUACAGUACUCAACAUCUUCCUCAACAAAAUACUCGAUAUCAGAUGGAAUGCGAUGGUUGCCUCCAUGGGACAAAGUAGGCUCUCCUGUGAAACAUCAAAUAAGGAAUAUGAAGAUUUCAUAAUUUUUGUAAAGAUGCAAAUAAAUUAUGCCCAAAGUUGAGAAGGAAUAGAAUAAAAUAUGUAAUCAGAAUCCAUUACUAUCUGAAAGUAUUCUUUUUAAAGCUCCCCAUGGCAUUUGUGAUUAGAGUCUUGCUUUAGUUUGACUGAAUAGUCAGCUGAAUAGUGAUCAGUAUGUGUGAGAAAAAUACAUAAGGCCAGGGAAAUAUCAGCAUUAAAUGAUCAGUGGCAAUAAUACCAGUGCCCUGAACUCACAGGCCCUC
rnacentral:lncRNA from 1 species